UUGAUUUCCACUCGACGAAAUAUUUCAUUUGAGUACCAUAUUAGACUUUUUAGCUUUUUUUAUUAAAAAAAAACUGAGAAAACCGUUAGUCCUAGAACAAAAUUGAGGCCAUGAUUGAGUUCCUCUUCAUCAACAUAAUUGAUGGAGUGUCACGAGUUCUAUAUCAGGACUGAGCAAGAACGUUGAUUAUCUAACUAUAUUCCAAGACAAUAAUAUAAAUAAAAAAUAUAUAAAAUGAGAGUCGUUACUAAUCAAGGCUUUACAUUUAGAAUAGUGAGCGAAUUUCAUCUGGUCACUAGAAAUCAUUAUUUUAAUAAAAUAUCAGAUGAUAGAAAUCGCUCUCUAUUCAAGAUUCAUCAUGUUUCAAUUAUCACCAGCUACAAAAAGUAAACGAGUUCAAUAUAACAUUUUUUUUUUGGGAAAUAUUAUCUGAGAGAACAGUAGUUUAUAGAUCAAAUACACCUAAUAGAGUUCAUUAGCUUCAGAUUAAAGACUUGUUUUCGAAUUGUAGGUAAAUAAGAUGGCGAAACUGUUAAUUGUUUCUCAGCAACUAAUGGAUGAUUUCGGAAUUUAUUUCCAUUUAUGUUUCAAACUUACCAAAUAAUGAUCUUUAAACACCAUAAAUUCUUAUUGUGCUCAAAUGAACCUUUUUAGUCAACAAUAGCUAUGUAUGCAUAUAAAAAUGGAAACGUUUUCUGGAACAUAUUCACUUUUAAAAUCGACCAGGAAGGAGUGAAAAAUGAUUUUUAAAAUAAUAACAUUCAGUUUCUUAAUUUUUGUUGUGGUCAAUUGUGUAUAUGGGCAAGGUCCUGAGUGCCGUCCAGGUUAUUGUGAUCAAGUACCAUGUGCUUCAAGGAGUAGUUGCAGCGAACCAAAUCAGUAUAUAAAAGAAACUCCUUGUGGUUGUUGCCCUGUGUGUUUCACCCUAUUAGGUGAAGGCGAAUCAUGUCCACCAAUAUUGCUAGGAGGUCCUCCAGCUACUUCUGCAUGCAUGGAAGGUUUGCAGUGUAUUGGAGGUGUUUGUCUUAGUGUUAAUUAAUUGAGUCUAUCGUUAGCAAUGAUGAGCAUUAUGAUAUUUCAUUUUAUCAAAAAUAAAAGGGGGAAUUAUUAUUUUUUUAUUGAUUGAUAAAGAAAGACACUUUUUUGAUAACAUUUUAAUAAAACUAUAAAAUUAAUUACAAAAUUGUUGAUGAAGGCUUUACAGCUGAAUUUUACAACAAAAUCAGAUAAUUCCACGUUUCUUCAAAUAUUCAACCGAAAGCUAUAGUUGCUUCUUCAAAAUAU